UACGUAGGGGGCAAGCGUUGUCCGGAAUCAUUGGGCGUAAAGCGCGUGUAGGCGGCCAGAAAAGUCCGCUGUGAAAACUCGAGGCUCAACCUCGAGCUGUCGGUGGAAACUUUCUGGCUAGAGUCCGGAAGAGGAGAAUGGAAUUCCUGGUGUAGCGGUGAAAUGCGCAGAUAUCAGGAAGAACACCCGUGGCGAAGGCGGUUCUCUGGGACGGUACUGACGCUGAGGAGCGAAAGCGUGGGGAGCGAACAGG
rnacentral:rRNA from 1 species